rnacentral:rRNA from 1 species
GAUGAACGCUAGCUACAGGCUUAACACAUGCCAGUCGAGGGGAAACGGCAUCGAAAGCUUGCUUUUGAUGGGCGUCGACCGGCGCACGGGUGAGUAACGCGUAUCCAACCUGCCCAUCACUUGGGAAUAACCUUGCGAAAGUAAGACUAAUGCCCAAUGACAUCCCACGAAGGCAUCCGAAUGGGAUUAAAGAUUUAUCGGUGAUGGAUGGGGAUGCGUCUGAUUAGCUUGUUGGCGGGGUGACGGCCCACCAAGGCAACGAUCAGUAGGGGUUCUGAGAGGAAGGUCCCCCACAUUGGAACUGAGACACGGUCCAAACUCCUACGGGAGGCAGCAGUGAGGAAGAUUGGUCAAUGGGCGAGAGCCUGAACCAGCCAAGUAGCGUGCAGGAUGACGGCCCUAUGGGUUGUAAACUGCUUUUAUAAGGGAAUAAAGUGGGUCACGUGUGACUUUUUGCAUGUACCUUAUGAAUAAGGACCGGCUAAUUCCGUG